rnacentral:rRNA from 1 species
GACGAACGCUGGCGGCGUGCCUAAUACAUGCAAGUCGAGCGGACUUUUGGGAGCUUGCUCCCAAAAGUUAGCGGCGGACGGGUGAGUAACACGUGGGCAACCUGCCUAUAAGACUGGGAUAACUUCGGGAAACCGGAGCUAAUACCGGAUAAUUCCUUUCCUCCCAUGAGGGAAGGCUGAAAGACGGUUUCGGCUGUCCCUUAUAGAUGGGCCCGCGGCGCAUUAGCUAGUUGGUGAGGUAACGGCUCACCAAGGCGACGAUGCGUAGCCGACCUGAGAGGGUGAUCGGCCACACUGGGGCUGAGACACGGCCCAGACUCCUACGGGAGGCAGCAGUAGGGAAUCUUCCGCAAUGGACGAAAGUCUGAUGGAGCAACGCCGCGUGAGUGAAGAAGGUUCUCGGAUCGUAAAACUCUGUUGUGAGGGAAGAACAAGUACCGGAGUAACUGCCGGUGCCUUGACGGUACCUCAUUAGAAAGCCACGGCUAACUACGUGCCAGCAGCCGCAGUAA